UACAGAGGGUGCAAGCGUUAAUCGGAAUUAUUGGGCGUAAAGAGCACGUAGGCGGAUUAGAAAGUUGGGUGUGAAAGCCCUGGGCUCAACCUGGGAACUGCAUUCAAAACUACUAGUCUAGAGUAUAGAAGAGGAAAGCGGAAUUUCCGGUGUAGCAGUGAAAUGCGUAGAUAUCGGAAGGAACAUCAGUGGCGAAGGCGGCUUUCUGGCCUAAUACUGACGCUGAGGUGCGAAAGCGUGGGGAGCAAACAGG
rnacentral:rRNA from 1 species